CAUUAAAAAAAUGGAAAAGACUCAAAUCAAUAAAAUUUGAAAUGGAAAAGGAGAAGUUACAACAGACAACACAGAAAUAUAAAGGAUCAUGAGAUUACUAUGAGAAACCAUAUGCCAAUAAAAUGGACAACCUAGAUGU